rnacentral:rRNA from 1 species
UUCGGAGACCUAGUAGAGUGGCGCACGGGUGAGUAACGCGUAAGUAAUCUACCCUUGCAUUUGGGAUAACUACGGGAAGCUGUAGCUAAUACCAAAUACGUUCUCCUAUUUACGAAUUGGAGAAGAAAGAUGGCCUCUUCAUGAAAGCUAUCGUGCAGGGAGGAGCUUGCGUACCAUUAGCUAGUUGGUAGGGUAAUGGCCUACCAAGGCAACGAUGGUUAGCGGGUCUGAGAGGAUGAUCCGCCACACUGGAACUGAAACACGGACCAGACUCC